UACUUUGCAACAAUUGCAGCGAGCGGGGACAAGAAGAAAGAGGAGCAGUCAGGCAAAAUGCAGGUAAAGUAACAGGUGCUGGCUGGAAUCAAUGCUUUCCUCUGUUCCUGAUGUGAUUUUUGGAAAGGAUAAGCAGCAAUAAUUCUCAUCCUGCAGGGAACGCUUGAGGAUCAAAUCAUCAGCGCCAACCCACUGCUGGAGGCCUUUGGAAACGCCAAGACCGUGAGGAACGACAACUCCUCACGCUUUGUAAGCUGUUUUAGCAGAAAUUGCUCCUUGUUCUAACAGUAGUGAUGGGCUAGUGGCAUUCUCACAGAAGGAGACAGCAAUGAAACGCCUCCAGGCUGAAAUGCCGCUGCUUCUCCUUAACAGGGCAAAUUCAUCAGAAUCCACUUUGGGGCCACAGGCAAACUGGCUUCUGCUGACAUUGAAACUUACCUGCUGGAGAAGUCCAGAGUCACUUUCCAGCUUAAAGCAGAAAGAAGCUACCACAUAUUCUAUCAGAUCACUUCCAACAAGAAGCCGGAGCUAAUUGAAAUGCUCCUCAUCACCACCAACCCCUAUGACUACCCUUUUGUGAGCCAAGGUGAAAUCACUGUUCCCAGUAUUGAUGACAAGGAGGAACUGAUGGCUACAGAUGUAAGUAACUGACAUAACAGGUCAACAGGCAUAGGUCAUACAUCACAUAACAUGUAAAUAUUUCACUUUGCUGAUUGAAUUGCCAGAGUGCCAUUGACAUCUUGGGCUUCACUGCUGAUGAGAAGACAGCCAUCUACAAGCUGACAGGGGCUGUUAUGCACUAUGGGAACCUGAAGUUCAAGCAGAAACCAAGAGAGGAGCAAGCAGAGCCAGAUGGCACAGAAGGUAUUAUCAAAUUUAAUAAUUAACCUUUCUACAAGCUGCUAUGGAUGUGGAAGACACUAAAACUUGUUCUU
rnacentral:lncRNA from 1 species